AUGCCCUACCGUAAAUAUUAACUCACAUCACCCACGCCUGGGUAUUACGAGCCUAGCUUAAAACCCAAAGGACUUGACGGUGUCCCACUAAACUAGAGGAGCCUGUUCUACAAUCGAUAAUCCCCGAUCCACCCGACCCCAUCUCGCCAAUUAGCCUGUAUACCUCCGUCGCACACUUACCAUGUGAAUGUACACAGUGGGUCCAAUGAUUCCUAGACUCAAUACAUCAGGUCAAGGUGCAGCUCAUGAUGGGGAAGCAAUGGGCUACAAUCUCUAAUAUAGAAAACACGAAAUGCCUUAUGAAACACGGCAUGAAGGUGGAUUUAGCAGUAAGAAGAAAAUAAAGUGUUCUUUUUAAAAUAACCCUGGGACAUGUACACACCGCCCGUCGCCCUCUUUAAUUGAGUAUAACAUGUUUGUAACAGCCUUUCUCACUUAAAAAGAGGUAAGUCGUAACAUGGUAAGCGUACCGGAAGGUGCGCUUGGAUCCGA
rnacentral:rRNA from 1 species